AUGUGCCAUUGCUCCCAGCAGCAAGCACGAUGCGUCCACGAGGCUCUGCUCCAGCCACCCGUGCUGCAUGACCGGCCAAAGAAAGCGCGACGCGGCGGCGGCGCGAGUGCCGAGGUGGCCUCCAUCGUGCGGCUCGCCGUGCCUAUGGUCGGCGCGGGGCUGCUCAUGUACGCGCGCUCCCUAGUGUCCAUGAUCUUUCUUGGCCGGCUCGGCCGCCUGCCACUCGCUGGCGGCUCCCUCGCGCUCGGCUUCGCCAACAUCACCGGCUACUCGGUGCUCUCCGGGCUGGCUGCCGGUAUGGACCCGGUGUGCGGCCAGGCGUUCGGUGCCGGCCGCACGUCUGUCCUCGCCGCGGCGCUCCGCCGCACCAUCUCGCUGCUCCUGGUCGCGUCCAUCCCCGUCAGCCUGCUCUGGGUCGCCAUGCACCGCAUCCUCGUCGCCACAGGGCAGGACCCCGACAUUGCGGCCGCUGCUUACGACUUCAUCAUGUGCUCGCUGCCAGACCUCCUCGUGCAGUCCUUCCUCCACCCGAUCCGCGUGUACCUCCGUGCGCAGGCCAUCACGCUCCCGAUCACGUACGCAGCCGCCGCCGCGCUCCUGCUCCACGUUCCCAUCAACUGCAUCCUCUUGCAGGGCCUCCGCCUCGGUAUCCGCGGCGUCGCCCUCGGAGCCGUCUGCACCAACCUAAACUUCUUGCUGUUCCUCGUGACCUACGUGUACUUCUCCGGAGUAACCCAUGGCAAUGGCGGCAGCGAUGGCAAAGAUGGUGCAUGUUUGUCACCGAUGGAGGAACCUGCUCUGGAAUGGGGCCGCUUGGUCAGGCUCUCCGUUCACAGCUGCAUGUCGAUAUGCCUGGAGUGGUGGUGGUACGAGAUCAUGGUCAUGCUUUGCGGCGUGCUCACCGACCCGAAAGCGGCGGUGGCAGCUAUGGGAAUACUCAUACAGACCACGUCACUGGUGUAUAUCUUCCCGCAUUCCCUCAGCUGCGCCGUGUCCACGCGCGUCGGGCAUGAGCUCGGCGCGGGGCGGCCGGAGCGUGCGCGCCUCGCGGCACGCGUCGGCCUCGCCUGUGGCGCCGCGCUGGGCCUCGUGGCGUGCGCAUUCGCGGCGUCCGUGAGGGGCGUAUGGGCGCGAAUGUUCACCGCAGAUGCGGCCAUCCUGCGGCUGACGUCCGUGGCGCUGCCCAUUCUCGGCGCCGCCGAGCUGGGCAACUGCCCGCAGACAGCGGGUUGCGGCGUGCUCCGCGGCAGCGCGCGGCUGGGGAAGGCCGCGAGGAUCAACGCCUCAGCCUUCUAUGGCGUCGGCAUGCCGGCCGCUCUGGCGCUGGCGUUCUGGCCGGCACGGCUCGACUUCCGGGGCAUGUGGGCCGGCAUGCUGACGGCGCAGCUGGUGUGCGCGGCCCUGAUGCUGCGAGCGGUGCAGCGCACGGACUGGGAAGAUCAGGCCGUUCGCGCGCGCGAGCUGACCGGCGCGGAGGCCCAUGGCGACGUCAAAAGCUGCCAUGCAGACGCAGACAGUGUAAUGGCGGGCAACGGCUUGCUCGUGGUGACUGUGCUAAGUUGA
rnacentral:rRNA from 1 species